GGUUUACAUAUAUAUGCACACAACCUUUUAUUAUUUACUUUAUAUUUGCUAGUUAGGGAGAUGUAACUAAUCCCAUACUGCUUUAAACUAAUUUAACACCAGUGCACAGAGGGGUGUAGCAGCCAAGGUGCAGAGUGACAGUGGGAGCAGCAGUUGUUUUUCAGCCCAGGGGCUGGCACAGCCCAGAGGUUUGUGUGCUUAACACAUUGUAAUGCAGCUGUAGACAAGAAUAGGCUACUACUUCAGAGGAUUGAUAUAUUCCUACUAGGAAUAUGCUGCAAAAUGUAAGCCAGAGAUGCCCUGAAACCUUUCUGCUCACGGGUUCAUUUCCUUUAGAGUUUCUCUCCUCCUGGCUGUCCUCCUCUCUGUAAGAAGGCCUUGCCUUACUUGACUAAACAUAGAUUAAAUUACUUGGUGCUAAUAUAUUUGCUGGAGAUAGCUUUUACUGGAAAGCAAGACAGUCCUGCAUUUAGAAAGUUAUACUCUAUAUAAACAAAUGCCAUUUGUAUAGACGGUGUAAUAUGUUCCAGCUUUAUUUGAUCUAAGCAAGAGGUGCCAAGGAUACGUCCAGUAUUUUUUUAAAGCUGGCAGUUGAGAUAGAAGGGAAAAUUAUUUUCAUCUGUUUGAUCCUGGUUCCUAUUUACAGAGAAAUGACAAUUAUUUUAAGGAGAAUUAAUUAUGAGCCAGUCGCAGAACUCAGUUCAGUGCAGCUGGUUGGCAACGAUUAACUCAAAUAUUGUAAUUAUUGCAAGUUUGGAAAGAGAGCUGAAAUAAUCCAGAUGGUUUAGCCUGAUUAAACUGAUACAAAAGUCACCAGACGUAGUGUUAAUCCUCUUCUUCUGCUGGGUGCAACAGUCCAUACAGACCUGUGAUAGCAGGGAACAGGUGCUAGUUAAAGUGGCUGAGAGCUGUCCCAUAAAGACAUCCAACUGGUCAGAAUUCUGAAGAACUGAGUUGAUGGUGAUGAGAAGGCUUUGAAAAAUGUUACGUCUUCAUAUGAUCAGAAAAAUCUGGCAGAAUACCAUAGAGUAUCCAUGGCGGCACUCCCUCAAAGAUACACAUACAGCAGCGUUGAUCAACUGAAAGAUAUGGCAGCCAGCCAGCCGUGUGAGUGCUGAUCAGUCAGCGUGUGAUGCUCUGAGCUGAACUUGGCACCCGGGGCCCAUGGGGAUGUGGCAAAGAGGAGGAGAAGCAGCAGCUGGAUGCCUGCACUGCAUGUGAUCCAUGCAGAAGUAGGAGCCUUCAAGUUUUCUGCCUGUUGUGCAGCCAUAUGCAGUACUAUAGGUAAAUAGGAAGGUUUGCAGUAUAUACACAUGUAAUUACUUUUGUGAUAUCUGGUCAUAACUGUAGUUUUUUUUAAGUAAGCUCAUUGAAGCCAAGAAACCCAACAGGUUAUGCUUAUCAGGACUUAUUUGAUACUAUUGCAGAGAGGAAGAGAGUCUCUGAAAUUGAGUGAGAGAGUCUCCAGGUGAUGACGGAGAAUUUCCAGGAGAAUGUACUAGCUGAAAGGGAGAAUCUCCGGGUCCAGAAAGAGAGUCUUCUAGCUAAGAAACAGCAUCUCCA
rnacentral:lncRNA from 1 species